rnacentral:rRNA from 1 species
CACCAGGAAAUUAAGUCAUAUUUAUCGGUAAAAAGACAGUUAGACAAUAAGAUAAGUCAUGGAAUUUUCAAUAUAGGGGUGCAAUCCGAAUAUUGAUAAAUAAUCUAAAUAUGACUAUUUGGUUGAACCUGUGAUAGCUUUAAGGGAAACUGGGAUUUGAUACCCCAUUAUUUUUAGCUGUAAAUUCAAUUUUACAUAAUUUACCAGAGUACUACGAACAUAAGGUUUAAAACUCAAAGGGCUUGGCGGUGUUUUAGACCACUCAGGGGAACCUGUCUCAUAAUCGAUGAUCCACGUUAAACCUGACCUUUUUUUGCAUUCAGCUUGUAUACCGUCGUCGUCAGGUAACUUCUAAAAAACUAAAAGUUAGCGAAAGAAUUUAUAAAUUAUAAUGUCAGAUCAGGGUGCAGCUUAUAAAAAGGGGAGGAUGGGUUACAAUUAUAAAUUUUAAUUACGGAAGAUCAUUAGAACUAAUUGAUCUGAAGGAGGACUUGAAAGUAAUUUUAAAUAUAUAAAUUAUAUGAAUAAGGCUCUGAAAUGUGC